rnacentral:rRNA from 1 species
GUUGAACGCUGGCGGCAGGCCUAACACAUGCAAGUCGAGCGGAAGAAGGGAGCUUGCUCCUGGAUUCAGCGGCGGACGGGGGUGUGAUACCUGUGAAUCUGCCGCGUAGGGGGGGAGAACGUCCGGAAACGGGCGCUAAUAACGCAUACGUCCUGCGGGAGAAAGUGGGGGAUCUUCGGAACUCACGCUAGCAUAGGAGCUUAGGUCGGGGUGGCUAGUUGGUGGGGUAAAGGCCUACCAAGGCGACGAUCCGUAACUGGUCUGAGAGGAUGAGGAGUCACACUGGAACUGAGACACAGUCCAGACUCCUACGGGAGGGAGCAGUGGGGAAUAUUGGACAAUGGGCGAAAGCCUGAUCCAGCCAUGGCGAGUGUGUGAAGAAGAUCUUCGGAUUGUAAAGCACUUUAAGUUGGGAGGAAGGGCAGUAAGUUAAUACCGUGCUGUAUUGACGUUAACAAGAGAAUAAGCACCGGCUAACUUCGUG